GAAGGUGCAGCUGAGAGGGAGAUAAUGUAGAACCAAUUUAAAUUCUGAUGUAAUCUAAAUAUACAAGUUUGAAGUAAACCUGGCAUUGCAGCGGCACCGGCAUCAAGACUAUAAAGUAGUGAUUAUUGUAACAACAAAAAGUAGACUACUCACGCAUUGUCUUGGUGCCGACCUUUUGAAAAACGUAGAUUUAGCCUCAGCUUAAGUUUUGGAUUAAUUCGAUUUUUUAGAGCACAAUGACACAAGCCAUUGGUACUUUUCCCACGCUCCACGCUUUCAUUCUCAGCUUGUAACUGACGUCACACCAAGGCCACUACUUUGGGCCUAGCCUAGCUGGUUGCGCUAGGGAAAAAUCGUCUGUUAAAAAAGGUCAGUUUUACAGUAGACUACUUUGACCCCAGAUAAAAUUACUUUCUGUCAAUGAAAAAGGGAGCUGUACAUCAUGGAAGUGUGACAGAAUGGUGAAAGCGCAAUAUUUAGGAGGAACUUGGGUAGUAAACAUUCAAAUAAAAUAGAUAUAAUAAUAGAUUGAGGUGUCCGAUAAGCAAGACGAAACCCGGUUGGCGACAAACAUCUUUUACUCUAAGUCUACUUUAUUUCAUUGUUGAUUCGCUAGACAUGAAUUCGCUUACUCAAAUAUGUGGUUUUUCCUUAGAGGGAAUUAAGGCUAUCAGGUUUUUCAAAAAUGUUGAGAUUAUCAUAUUUUUUUCUAAUAACAGAAGCUUAAAUAGGUAAUAUAAAAAAAUGUCCAAGGCUAACGAAACGAAAGAGCAUAGAUUAUAUAGAUUAUAGAUCUGCAUGUAUUUUAAAUAAAAUUGAUGCUAACAAUUACAUUAAAUCAACAUGGUCAGGUGUUAUUUGCUCUUAUUAUUUUUAUUUAAACAUUUCAGUAAAUUUGGGUGUCAUAAUAACUAUAUUCUUGUAAAUUAAAUUUCAGUUGUUUGUUUCUAAAUAUUGGUUAAUAUUUUUUUUUUUUGCUAACACUUAGUAACAGGCAUACUUUUUCUUGAUUUUUUUCUCAGGGUGCCCUAGGUUUGUCACCCUUGGUCUAGACUCAAUAUCUAGAUUGAUAUAGCAAUCUGUACUAGACUCUAGAAUUAUAGAUCUAAAAGUGAAACUUAAAACUAGCCUAGAAAAUCUUAAGAGACUAUAUCUAUAAUAAAGCUGCCUUAUCAAACGCCCCACCUAUUGUCUACCAAGUCAUUACCCUCAAACCUUUUUUUUUUUCAAUGUGUUCUUAUUUUGAUGGAUGUUGUGGAAAUACUGUGAGUAUGGUAGUAUGGCGCACAUUCAAUUUUUCAAAUUUCAUAACCACAUUAAGUUUUGUGUUCCUAUGUUACAUCAUCUAGUUCCAUUUGAUGUCUAAGUGCAUUGGUAUGAAAGCAUCCUUUUUUUGACCUCAUGCACUGCUAAGGCUAUUGUAUAGCCUCACCCCAUGGUAUAUCAGCUUCAGGAUUGAAAGAACAUGUGUACCAUCUCACUUCCCUUGCUGUCCAUUAAACCUAUGUAAAAUUAUUGGAGGGGUGGGGGGGGUGAUAUGCAGUGAGUCCCCACUACAAGUCUUUGUGACCCUAGAUUUGGGUUAGCUAGCCAGGUAUUAAUUUUUUUGUAGUAAUGUAACUUUUUUUUCUUUUGAUACUGUAAAUACUUGAAAUUACAUUUAUAUCGUAUUCACUUUCUCUUCAUCUAGAUAAUCUAGUCCUAGUAGUCACUGUACGAAUAUAGCAAUGCUAUUGGUUAGAUCUUAUUCUUCUUCUA
rnacentral:sRNA from 1 species